CCUACGGGAGGCAGCAGUGAGGAAUAUUGGUCAAUGGGCGCGAGCCUGAACCAGCCAAGUAGCGUGAAGGAUGAAGGCUCUAUGGGUUGUAAACUUCUUUUAUAAAGGAAUAAAGUGAGGCACGUGUGCCUUUUUGUAUGUAUCUUAUGAAUAAGCAUCGGCUAACUCCGUGCCAGCAGCCGCGGUAAUACGGAGGAUCCGAGCGUUAUCCGGAGUUAUUGGGUUUAAAGGGAGCGUAGAUGGGUUGUUAAGUCAGUUGUGAAAGUUUGCGGAUCAACCAUAAAAUUGCAGUUGAUACUGGCAGCCUUGAGUACAGUUGAGGUAGGCGGAAUUCGUGGUGUAGCGGUGAAAUGCUUAGAUAUCACGCAGAACUCCGAUUGCGAAGGCAGCCUACUAAACUGCCACUGACAUUGAUGCUCGAAAGUGUGGGUAUCAAACAGGAUUAGAUACCCUUGUAGUC
rnacentral:rRNA from 1 species